rnacentral:rRNA from 1 species
GUGGGGAAUAUUGGACAAUGGGCGCAAGCCUGAUCCAGCCAUGCCGCGUGAGUGAUGAAGGCCUUAGGGUUGUAAAGCUCUUUCACCGGUGAAGAUAAUGACGGUAACCGGAGAAGAAGCCCCGGCUAACUUCGUGCCAGCAGCCGCGGUAAUACGAAGGGGGCUAGCGUUGUUCGGAAUUACUGGGCGUAAAGCGCACGUAGGCUGAUAUUUAAGUCAGGGGUGAAAUCCCGGGGCUCAACCCCGGAACUGCCUUUGAUACUGGGUAUCUUGAGUAUGGAAGAGGUCAGUGGAAUUGCGAGUGUAGAGGUGAAAUUCGUAGAUAUUCGCAGGAACACCAGUGGCGAAGGCGGCUGACUGGUCCAUUACUGACGCUGAGGUGCGAAAGCGUGGGGAGCAAACAGGAUUAGAUACCCGGGUAGUCC